rnacentral:rRNA from 1 species
AGCACCCUUCGGGGUGUGACUGCGUACCUUUUGUAUAAUGGGUCAGCGACUUAUAUUCUGUAGCAAGGUUAACCGUAUAGGGGAGCCGGAGGGAAACCGAGUCUUAAUUGGGCGUUAAGUUGCAGGGUAUAGACCCGAAACCCGGUGAUCUAGCCAUGGGCAGGUUGAAGGUUGGGUAACACUAACUGGAGGACCGAACCGACUAAUGUUGAAAAAUUAGCGGAUGACCUGUGGCUGGGGGUGAAAGGCCAAUCAAACCGGGAGAUAGCUGGUUCUCCCCGAAAGCUAUUUAGGUAGCGCCUCGUGAAUUCAUCUCCGGGGGUAGAGCACUGUUUCGGCUAGGGGGCCAUCCCGGCUUACCAACCCGAUGCAAACUGCGAAUACCGGAGAAUGUUAUCACGGGAGACACACGGCGGGUGCUAACGUCCGUCGUGAAGAGGGAAACAACCCAGACCGCCAGCUAAGGUCCCAAAGUCAUGGUUAAGUGGGAAACGAUGUGGGAAGGCCCAGACAGCCAGGAUGUUGGCUUAGAAGCAGCCAUCAUUUAAAGAAAGCGUAAUAGCUCACUGGUCGAGUCGGCCUGCGCGGAAGAUGUAACGGGGCUAAACCAUGCACCGAAGCUGCGGCAGCGAACGUAUCACCCAAGACAACUUUACGGAGUUGACGAUUGACGGAGCGAAGCGAC